UCAUGUCUCUCUUAUGUGAGAUAAUUUAACGCACUCUAUUUCUCCCUUCCCCUUCCUCCAAUCCAUUCCUGUUUCUCACCCCAUAAAUUUUUUUAGAUAUCAUUCCAUCAUAUUUAACUCAUACCCUUGCUCUCUGUCUAUGUAUAUUACUUCUAACUGCCCUAAUAAUGAUAUAAAGUUCUUAGGAGUUAUAAGAAUCAUCUUCCCUUGUAGGUAUGUAAACAGUUUAACCUUAUUGAAUAUCUUUUGAUUUCUCUUUCCUACCUACCUUUUUAAUGCUUCUUUUUAAUCUUGUAUUUGAGAGUCAAGUUUUCCAUUCAGCUCUGGUCUUUUCAACAGGAAUAUUUGAAAGUCCUCUAUUUCAUUGAAUACCCAUUCCCCCCCCCUAAAGAAUUAUGCUUAGUUUUGCUGGAUAAAUGAUUCUUGGUUAGAGUUCUAGCUCCUUUGUCUUCCAGAAUAUCAUAUUCCAGACCUUCUGAUCCUUUAAUGUAGAAGCUGCUAAAUCUCUUAUUCUGACUGAGGAUCCAUAAUAUUUGAAUGAUUUCUUUUUGCCUGCUUGCAAUAUUUUUCUCUUUGACCUGAGGGUUCUAGAAUUUGGCUAUAACAUUCCUGGAAAUUAUCCUUUUGGAAUUUCUUUGAAGAGGACUGCCUGCAAAGGGUCAAUUCAACCCAGCAUGGCUCUAGCAGAGAUAUGAAUCACCAGCAGCAGCAACUACACCAAGUGGAUAAAAAUUAUAGGAUGCCGUUCUUGACGAGAGUUACAUAAAUAGAAUAUGUCACAACCAUCCUGAAGAUUUGGACUCUAUCGACACUUCAUGGGAAUGAAGCCAUCAACUGCCUGGGGCUAUGUCUUUGGUCAGAGGAUGAAGGACAACAACCAACCAACCAAUAUGAAUAUAUUGGAAUCUUGUUGGACCAUGAGAAAUGAUGAAAGGGAAGGAAUUCGGAGAAACCUGAGAUGACUUAAGUAUUAAUGCAGAUUGAACUGAGAGUCUAUUCUCCUUGGCAAAGAAAACAAAGUGAAGAAUCCAGCAGCCCCAUCCUUCUCUCCAUAAUCCAUUGCCAUGAUUCUACUUAUCCUGAGCAGCCAACCAGUCCCUUAUUCAAUCUUCCUCUUUCCUCCAUUGUUUCUACAUUGCUGAAGGACUUCAAGUACUGUCAACCCCCUUUAAAUUGAACUUUCUCUAAAUUCGGUGCCUUCAGUUGAUUUGCCCUAUUAGGUGCGCUCUGGCAUCACACAAGAGAAAUGACCAGCCCAGCUCAUCCUCUCAUCAAAUCACUGAAGAUGAAAUGAAUUUUAAAACAAUAUCCCAGGUGGAUUACACAUUUAGCUACUUAACAGGAGACUUUGCCGGGACCCUCAUUUAUUAUUUUGAAAAGCAAAGCCAGUUACUGCCAAUAAUUAAGUACAGCCUUGUCCGGGUCUCUGUUAUUUUAUACGCUUUAAAGCAGUAGAUUCCGUGGCUAAUAGCCAGCCUCCCUAUUGUAUCCUGAACUUGGCUUUGAAAAAACUUCUGAUAGCUUCCCACUGAGCCAAAAAUAAAGUUAGUGAUCUCCUUUUCA
rnacentral:lncRNA from 1 species